rnacentral:rRNA from 1 species
UGCAGCAGCCGCGGUAAUUCCAGCUCCAAUAGCGUAUAUUAAAGUUGUUGCAGUUAAAAAGCUCGUAGUUGAAUUUCGGGAUCAGUAUGUUGGUCGUGCUUCGGUACGUACUGUCAUUACUGGUUUCUCCCUUCUGAAGAACCUUGAUGUCAUUAAUUUGGUGUCUUGGGGAAUCAGGACUGUUACUUUGAAAAAAUUAGAGUGUUUAAAGCAGGCAUACGCUUGAAUACAUUAGCAUGGAAUAAUGAAAUAGGACGUUUGAUUCUAUUUUGUUGGUUUCUAGGAUCGACGUAAUGAUUAAUAGGGAUAGUUGGGGGCAUUAGUAUUCAAUUGUCAGAGGUGAAAUUCUUGGAUUUAUUGAAGACUAACUACUGCGAAAGCAUUUGCCAAGGAUGUUUUCAUUAAUCAAGAACGAAAGUUAGGGGAUCGAAGACGAUCAGAUACCGUCGUAGUCUUAACCAUAAACUAUGCCGACUAGGGAUCGGAUGAUGUUAUUUUUAAUGACUC